GGGGUUGACUGGUUUUGACAGCGUGUAGAAGUGGUGUGUAAGCGUGCAGAGGCAAGAUGUUCGUCCUCUUUAAUCCCGGCAUCAAAAAUUUAAUUGGCGAAAAUAACCUCGCUCUCGCUGCUUGAUUGAAGUACAGUAGAUCAGCUUAAUCUCCGCGACAGUCGCAGAGACGGGACAUCACCCGGCAAUCCCCUUUCCGAGACAUGCCGACCCGGUGGUGUAAGACAAUCGGAAAUAGGCUCAGGCAAGCCUCGGUGCCAGAGCCGAAAAUUUAGAGGAUAAGGUCGCGGUUGGCUGUCUUUGGCCUGCCACGGCACGAAAACCAAUCAAAGAAUACGCACGUAGAAAGCUCAUUAGUUCCACGUUUGGACGGGGGUUCAAAUCCCCCCAGCUCCACAA
rnacentral:tmRNA from 1 species